ensembl:lncRNA
AUUUCUACCCUGAAACAAACAGUUUGCUUUGACAGCAUGAGUAGUACAUGUCUGUCAUCCAUUAUUGCAUCUAAAUACAAGGUAAUCAGACUAAUAUACCUGAAUAGUAUAAGUAUUGAAACUUUUCUGCUAUAUUUCCCAAUAAGUGUAUGUUUUACCACAGAAUGCCAGUGUGGUCUGUGAACAGUCUGCAACAUUGUGAGUCAUUGAUACUAAAUCUUGUUUGAGUGUAGUACUUUUGUACUUGAACACAUCUGUAGCAGUUAAACAAUAAUAUCUGUAAUGUAUUUCUCUUGCUUUUUAAAGUCAAAGCUGCAAAGGGAUUUUAGGUUUUGGGCACGAGAUCCCGAUCUGUUCAGUAGCAGCAGCUGUGAGGAAUGUGUUUCAGCUGGAAGAACAGAUCCUUUUCACAGGGGAAGUGAGACGAGCAGGUGAGUGGAUUUUUCACUGAUAAUUAGAAAUACGAUCACUUGGAUUUAAAUAACGUGUGGUAUCUCAUUUCAUGUCUCUUAGCAAUUUGUGGAAAUCUGAAAGUCAGCAACGACCCACUGGACUCCCAGUUCACCUGGACUGACAGUAACCUGAAACCUGCAAACUUCUGUACACAAGCACAGAACCCUCACACCCUCGCAUGUCAAAAUGGAACAAAUUUGAUUGUGCAGCUGGACGAGUUGUGUGAUGCAAGUGUUGUGUCAACUACAACAAACCCAUCAACCUCACAGCCAGACGCCAAUGUUACAACCUCACAGCCAAACAUGACAACCUCACAGCCAGACACCAAUGUUACAACCUCACAGCCAAACAUGACAACCUCACAGCCAGACACCAAUGUUACAACCUCACAGCCAAACAUGACAACCUCACAGCCAGACACCAAUGUUACAACCUCACAGUCAAACAUGACAACCUCACAGCCAGACACCAAUGUUACAACCUCACAGCCAGACACCAACUUUACAUCCUCCCAACAAAACAACAAUGUGACAACCUCACUGCCAGACACCAAUGUUACAACCUCCCUGCCAGGUAAUGUUACUACCGGCCAACAAGACACCAAUGUUACAACCUCCCAGCAAGACAACAAUGUUACAACCUCCCUGCCAGGUAAUGUUACUACCGGCCAACAAGACACCAACGUUACAACCUCCCAACAAGACAACAAUGUGACAACCUCACUGCCAGACAACAUGACAACCUCCUUACCAAGUAGCAUGACUACCUCACAGCCAUAUGCCACUACCCUGUCUCAAAAUGAGACAGCAUUCACCCCAAAGCCACCAGCAACAACUCAACCAAACACAACAACAACAACAAAGCCACUACAAAAUACAACAAGAAGCCCAGAAAAGACAACAUCUGCUGACAGAAGCACAGCAACAACAAUCACUACAACUAACUCUGGGAACUCUUCAGCUGAAAGUCAGGCCGACCGACUGCUGCAGAUGACCGGAGACAUGUCUAACCUGACCUCUGCAGAUUUAGAAAAUCUGGUCUCUGAACUGGAGAAACUUCUGUCAGGUCCAACUGUGAGCCUGGCUCUGGGAAACAUCUCCAUCCAUGUUGUCAGCAAUCUGUUGGGCGCCUCACCUGAGAAGAUGUUGGGCUUCUCCAGAAGGUUAACCAUACUCCCUCAGUGUUUCGUAAAAUAUGAUCUUAUCAAAGAACCGAUUGGAACAAAUGUCCUGUUAUUAAAUGCUGAAAUGACUAAAUAA